UGACUGAUCAAGUUUGUCUCCGCUUCAAUGAUACUCAUCGGAUUCGUUCCACAGACGUGGGGCCGCCUCUCCUGUCAGUAUGUGCCCUACCGGACAGUAGGCCAGGCCGUGUGGACCUGGCCAAAGUCUUAGUCUUCUUGGACGACUUCAGGUCUCCUCCUAUAGCAAGUCUCCUUGGUCCUUGCUUAGUUGCUUGCAUCUCUUAAGCUCCAAGCAAGUCCAGAUCUCCUCUCACCAGCGCACUCCAUUGCGAUUGUUGCAGCUCCAACCAAGCAUAAGCAGAUCAAACACCACACCACACCACUCGGUCUCUGCUGCUGCUCUUGGAUGGACUAGCUCACGAAAGGCGUCUGGCUGCCCGGAUCCUGUCAAGGGUUCAGCUCAGGCCUGGAAUUUCUGCAGGGUUCAGCUCAGGCCUUUUGGACUCUUUCCUUUAUGUGUCAGGGGUUGUAGCAGAGUUACAAGCUCCAAUCACCAGCAGGUGCAGAUUACCUUCUCUGAAUCCUCACUCACAAAUUUUUGCAUCUCCAGAACAUUCUCUUUGCUUGGUGAUACGAUGACUAGCCAUGCCUGGCAAUUUUAGCAACGAGAAUUUUCUUUUAGAGAAAUGAAAAUCCAAGUAUUUCGCAGAAUUUCCCCCUUUACAAGGUUGAAAUAGAAGCCCCUCUGCUUAGAGACAGUUGAAGAUUUAGACCUGACUACAAAAACACAGACAUAAAAAAUAGUCAUCAGCCCACAUUCCUAAAAUUUCACAGAACGUCCAAACUGAUAGCUUAUGUAUUAUGAAAGCAAGCAUAUCUACAAAGCAUAGUUCGGCAGAAGCAUUAUCGGGCAUUUGGGUGCCAAAAAUACCUGAAGUUCUGAACUCCAAACUUGUGUCCAGCAGGGAUCAACUGGUCAAGUCAUUAGACAAAUCUACCAUGAAUAUAUCACAAACUGUUUGGAAGGCUUAGGAGUAUCACAAAUCACUACAACCUGUUUGGAAGCAUUAGAAAUUAUAGCCUCUUAAAAACAAAGCAUGCAAUUGCCAUCCCACAAGUACCAACUCCUUUAGUUUGAUAUAUGAUGAAUUUGGAAAGUAAUACAACAUCCAAAGUAAUGAAUCUAUUCAUGUAUGCUGGCAUGACUAGAGGGUUUAUUACUCCCUCCGUUCUCUUUUGAUAGUCCUAAUUCAUCUUAGAACAAUGACCAAAAAGUACCUUGCUUAUCAUCUCAUUAAUUAUGACUCCUCGUUUUUUAUGUUAUCAUAUACAUGCACCAAUCUUUUCUAUAGAAAAGUUACUCUGCAUGGGAAUUGAAGGCCAUCCAUACUUCCCAAGAUGUCAACCCAAAUAGGACUAUCAAAAGAGAAUAAUUUAAUUUUGGAAAUAGGACAAUCAAAAGAGAAUGGAGGGAGUAUUUAGCAAGCAUACCAUGAUUCAGAACAGCAGAGCCCCAUAGCUUCUUGCAUUGUAUAAAGAUUUACACUGUCACCUUGCACAACACAUAUCCAUAUUCCAACUUCGCCUGACAAGUUGCAUACUCCCUCCGUCCUAAAAUACAAGUCAUUCUAGAUUUGUCCUAAGUCAAACUUUCUUAGGUUUGACCAAAUUUAUGGUGAAAAGUAUCAACAUUUAUGACAUUAAAUAGGUAUAUUUUGAAAAUACACUUCAUGGUGAAUUUAAUGAUACUUAUUUGAUAUCAUAAAUAUUGUCGUGGAGUGGAAACCCACAGCCGAGUGGCGUAAUGCACCCGCCUAAGCCCAGAGGGUGAGUACUCGGGGGUUAGCUAGGACUAGUUCUAUCUCGCUGGAAGAACACGAUGAACACAGCAGGUUUAGAGUGGUUCGGGCCGCCGGAGCGUAAUACCCUACGUCCACUGUGUGUUGUAUUGCUUGUGUUCCCUUCGUCUCAAGAGAGUCUGAGAGAACUUGGUGUGUGCAGCGAGCGCCUCCCUCUUAUAUCUCAAGGGAGGCGCGUACAUGGCCGUUGGGUCCCCGACAGGUGGGCCCAAUCGAUGUAGUAUAAAAUAACGUACUGUUCAUACAUUAUGGCGUUGCAGGCGAAGGAGAUCUCAUUCCCGGAUUUCCUUACUCUGCCCGCGGGAA